rnacentral:rRNA from 1 species
GACGUAGGGCGCGAGCGUUGUCCGGAUUUAUUGGGCGUAAAGAGCUCGUAGGCGGCUUGUCGCGUCGUCCGUGAAAACUCACAGCUCAACUGUGAGCUUGCGGUCGAUACGGGCAGGCUAGAGUUCGGUAGGGGAGACUGGAAUUCCUGGUGUAGCGGUGAAAUGCGCAGAUAUCAGGAGGAAGACCAGUGGCGAAGGCGGGUCUCUGGACAGUUCCUGACACUGAGGCACGAAGGCCAGGGGAGCAAACGGG